rnacentral:rRNA from 1 species
GACGAACGCUGGCGGCGUGCUUAACACAUGCAAGUCGAGCGGUAAGGCCCUUUCGGGGUACACGAGCGGCGAACGGGUGAGUAACACGUGGGUGACCUGCCCUCAGCUCUGGGAUAAGCCCGGGAAACUGGGUCUAAUACUGGAUAUGACUCCACGGUGCAUGCCGUGGGGUGGAAAGCCUUGUGCGGCUGAGGAUGGGCCCGCGGCCUAUCAGCUUGUUGGUGGGGUGAUGGCCUACCAAGGCGACGACGGGUAGCCGGCCUGAGAGGCGGACGGCCACACUGGAACUGAGACACGGUCCAGACUCCUACGGGAGGCA